CGGGUUCAGUUCUCAGCACCAGGGGCUGGGGGCAGGGAGGCCGUCAGAAUUCUACAGAUGGCGAGUGAGCUCAGGCAGAGAUAGGGUGCACAGUAGGAAUUGGCCUUGGCCUCUUCUCUUCAGCCUCCCCGAUAUGGGUGGUUCACUUUUAAAAACUUAUUAUCUUUAGACAGGAUCUCACUGUAUCACCCUGGCUGCCUCCGCAUCGUCCUGAGCUCUGGAACCAAAAGCCUGCUCCAUCACCGCUUGGCUGGCAUUUUCUCCCUACCCCGCUUCUGCAAGGAGAUUUUGUUCUUGUUCAUGUGUGCAGCAUCCAUGUCAUGUCCAGAUGACAGCAGCUCACAGCACUGAUUGUCCCCAGCUGAAGCAAGAUGGCUGUAAAGAAAAGCUAUGGAGUUGUUUGGCAAAGCCAGGGUAGCUUUCCGGCUCUGGUUUCCUCAUCUGGAACCCUCUGCAGUGUGCUUUGCCAGCCUCAGGUUCUGCAUGUAAUGAUGAUGUGGGAAAA
rnacentral:lncRNA from 1 species